UAAAAACACGCCAAUAGGAGUGUUAGAUGAAGUGGAUGCAAGUGAACUAUCAAUCUACUGAAACAAAAGCGGUAAAUGUAUUCGAAGAAGAAAAUGCUCGCGCGACCUGUGCGUCAGACCCGGAUAAACGCACGCGAGCUGACAAAAUCCUUAGUAGCUGUUAUUCAAUACCAUAUGCUCUUAAGGACAACGCCCUGAUGUCCAAGGUCAAUCAGCAAGAAGCUGAGAAGGCACUGUCAAAAUGGUUCACUGGGGCAAGGGACAGAGGAGGACAGAGAGCAUCAAGAAUGCAGAAAAGGAUGUCUAUUUGAGAAAGGUUAUAACUACAGUUGCUGAUUUGAACUGUCAUAGUUCUUUUAUUUUUCUUAAAGGAAAACCUUUUUCAAUAUUUUACCAUGUUCUUCCCUCAACUUAGAUUAAUUAAUACAUACCUCUAUUUUCUCAAUGCGUGCACUUAAAGGUGGGGUGCACAAUUUCUGAAAAAUAAAGUUUUGGAAAAGGGAGUCGGGCCGACUACCAAAACACACUUGUAGCCAAUCAGCAGCAUGUC